AGUAGACGUUCAGAGUUUGAUCCUGGCUCAGGAUGAAUGCUGGCGGCGUGCUUAACACAUGCAAGUCGAGCGGUAAGGCCCCUUCGGGGUACACGAGCGGCGGACGGCUGAGUAACGCGUGGGAACAUGCCCCAAAGUGAGGAAUAACUGCCCGAAAGGGUAGCUAAUGCCGCAUAUGAUCUUCGGAUUAAAGGAUUUAUCCGCUUUGGGAGUGGCCUGCGUACGAUUAGGUAGUUGGUGAGGUAAUGGCUUACCAAGCCUACGAUCGUUAGCUGGUCUGAGAGGAUGACCAGCCAGACUGGAACUGAGACACGGUCCAG
rnacentral:rRNA from 1 species